rnacentral:SRP_RNA from 1 species
GACCAGGUCCUGCGCGGCAGGACCUCCGAACUGUGUCAGGCCUUGACGGGAGCAGCACUAAGGAGUAUCUCCUGGGUGUCGCAGAUCAGCCUGGCCUGG